rnacentral:rRNA from 1 species
AAUCAGCGGCGGACGGGUGAGUAAUGCCUAGGAAUCUGCCUGGUAGUGGGGGAUAACGUCCGGAAACGGGCGCUAAUACCGCAUACGUCCUGAGGGAGAAAGUGGGGGAUCUUCGGACCUCACGCUAUCAGAUGAGCCUAGUCGGAUUAGCUAGUUGGUGGGGUAAAGGCCUACCAAGGCGACGAUCCGUAACUGGUCUGAGAGGAUGAUCAGUCACACUGGAACUGAGACACGGUCCAGACUCCUACGGGAGGCAGCAGUGGGGAAUAUUGGACAAUGGGCGAAAGCCUGAUCCAGCCAUGCCGCGUGUGUGAAGAAGGUCUUCGGAUUGUAAAGCACUUUAAGUUGGGAGGAAGGGCAGUAAGUUAAUACCUUGCUGUUUUGACGUUACCAACAGAAUAAGCACCGGCU